AUACGUAGGGGGCGAGCGUUGUCCGGAAUGAUUGGGCGUAAAGGGCGCGUAGGCGGCCCGGUAAGUCUGGAGUGAAAGUCCUGCUUUUAAGGUGGGAAUUGCUUUGGAUACUGUCGGGCUUGAGUGCAGGAGAGGUAAGUGGAAUUCCCAGUGUAGCGGUGAAAUGCGUAGAGAUUGGGAGGAACACCAGUGGCGAAGGCGACUUACUGGACUGUAACUGACGCUGAGGCGCGAAAGUGUGGGGAGCAAACAGGAUUAGAUACCCUGGUAGUCCACACCGUAAACGAUGAAUGCUAGGUGUAGGGGGUAUCGACCCCUUCUGUGCCGCAGUUAACACAAUAAGCAUUCCGCCUGGGGAGUACGGCCGCAAGGUUGAAACUCAAAGGAAUUGACGGGG
rnacentral:rRNA from 1 species